rnacentral:rRNA from 1 species
AGACCCGAAACCCGGUGAUCUAGCCAUGGGCAGGUUGAAGGUUGGGUAACACUAACUGGAGGACCGAACCGACUAAUGUUGAAAAAUUAGCGGAUGACCUGUGGCUGGGGGUGAAAGGCCAAUCAAACCGGGAGAUAGCUGGUUCUCCCCGAAAGCUAUUUAGGUAGCGCCUCGUGAAUUCAUCUCCGGGGGUAGAGCACUGUUUCGGCUAGGGGGCCAUCCCGGCUUACCAACCCGAUGCAAACUGCGAAUACCGGAGAAUGUUAUCACGGGAGACACACGGCGGGUGCUAACGUCCGUCGUGAAGAGGGAAACAACCCAGACCGCCAGCUAAGGUCCCAAAGUCAUGGUUAAGUGGGAAACGAUGUGGGAAGGCCCAGACAGCCAGGAUGUUGGCUUAGAAGCAGCCAUCAUUUAAAGAAAGCGUAAUAGCUCACUGGUCGAGUCGGCCUGCGCGGAAGAUGUAACGGGGCUAAACCAUGCACCGAAGCUGCGGCAGCGACACUGUGUGUUGUUGGGUAGGGGAGCGUUCUGUAAGCCUGUGAAGGUGUGUCGUGAGGCAUGCUGGAGGUAUCAGAAGUGCGAAUGCUGACAUAAGUAACGAUAAAGCGGGUGAAAAGCCCGCUCGCCGGAAGACCAAGGGUUCCUGUCCAACGUUAAUCGGGGCAGGGUGAGUCGACCCCUAAGGCGAGGCCGAAAGGCGUAGUCGAUGGGAAACGGGUUAAUAUUCCCGUACUUGGUGUUACUGCGAAGGGGGGACGGAGAAGGCUAUGUUGGCCGGGCGACGGUUGUCCCGGUUUAAGCGUGUAGGUGUGUGUUCCAGGUAAAUCCGGUUCACUUUAACACUGAGGCGUGACGACGAGGCACUACGGUGCUGAAGCAACAAAUGCCCUGCUUCCAGGAAAAGCCUCUAAGCAUCAGGUAACAUCAAAUCGUACCCCAAACCGACACAGGUGGUCAGGUAGAGAAUACCAAGGCGCUUGAGAGAACUCGGGUGAAGGAACUAGGCAAAAUGGUGCCGUAACUUCGGGAGAAGGCACGCUGACACGUAGGUGAAGUGAUUUACUCAUGGAGCUGAAGUCAGUCGAAGAUACCAGCUGGCUGCAACUGUUUAUUAAAAACACAGCACUGUGCAAACACGAAAGUGGACGUAUACGGUGUGACGCCUGCCCGGUGCCGGAAGGUUAAUUGAUGGGGUCAGCGCAAGCGAAGCUCCUGAUCGAAGCCCCGGUAAACGGCGGCCGUAACUAUAACGGUCCUAAGGUAGCGAAAUUCCUUGUCGGGUAAGUUCCGACCUGCACGAAUGGCGUAAUGAUGGCCAGGCUGUCUCCACCCGAGACUCAGUGAAAUUGAACUCGCUGUGAAGAUGCAGUGUACCCGCGGCAAGACGGAAAGACCCCGUGAACCUUUACUAUAGCUUGACACUGAACAUUGAGCCUUGAUGUGUAGGAUAGGUGGGAGGCUUUGAAGUGUGGACGCCAGUCUGCAUGGAGCCGACCUUGAAAUACCACCCUUUAAUGUUUGAUGUUCUAACGUGGACCCGUUACCCGGGUUGCGGACAGUGUCUGGUGGGUAGUUUGACUGGGGCGGUCUCCUCCUAAAGAGUAACGGAG